rnacentral:sRNA from 1 species
CAAAGAGUACGUGAAACCGUUGGAGGGGAAGCGAAUGCGGCCAGCAAUGUCUCUGUGCAGAUUCAGCCGGGGAGCGGGCGAGGCGUUGGACUACGGAUCCGAAGGGACCGCGUCSUUCGCCGUCUGUGCGUUGUCCCGUGUUGCAUUUCUGCUGGGGACGUGCCAGCGCCGGUGGGAGGCGACGUCGUGACGGCAUGGUGAGGUGGACGUGUCCUGCGGGGCGCGUCGUUAUAGACGUUGUCGUAGGCGUCGCAGCCCACCGUGGAGACGGAAUACCGGUGGCGGCGCACGCCGGCUCUGCCGGCUAGGCGGGGCGUCGACGUCUNGGAUCCCUCGUGCGGACUGCGUGCAGUGCGCGCUAGGGCGUCGUAGUCGUCGUUGUCUGCGGCCU